rnacentral:rRNA from 1 species
UGUGUGUCGUAGUUAACGCGUUAUACAGGGCGCCUGGGAAGUACGGCCGCAAGGCUAAAACCCAAAGGAAUUGACGGGGACCCGCACAAGCAGUGGAGCGCCUGGUUUAAUUCGAUGGUCAGCGAAGAACCUCACCUAGGCUUGAACUGUAGCUGCACACUCCCAGAAACGGGAGAAUCCUUCGAGGGUGCUACAGAGGUGCUGCAUGGCUGUCGUCAGCUCGUGUCGUGAGAUGUAGGGUUAAGUCCCACAACGAGCGCAACCCCUAUUCAGUGUUAUAAUUACUCUGAAGACUGCCCUGUCCAAACGGGGAGGAAGGAGGGGACGACGUCCAGUCAUCAUGUCCCUUAUGUCUAGGGCUACACAGACGCUACAAUGGCCGGUACAAUGGGUUGCCAAACCGCGAGGUGGAGCCAAUCCCAUCAAAGCCGGUCCCAGUUCGGAUUGCAGUCUGCAACUCGACUGCAUGAAGUUGUAAUUGCUAGUAAUCGCGAAUCAGCACGUCGCGGUGAUACGUUCUCGGGUCUUGUACACACCGCCCGUCAGGGCACGGGAGUCGCUCUUGCUCGAAGU